rnacentral:rRNA from 1 species
UACGUAGGUGGCAAGCGUUGUUCGGAAUUAUUGGGCGUAAAGAGCGCGCAGGCGGUCGUUCAAGUCGCGUGUGAAAGCCCCCGGCUCAACUGGGGAGGGUCACGCGAUACUGAUCGACUCGAAGGCAGGAGAGGGUAGUGGAAUUCCCGGUGUAGUGGUGAAAUGCGUAGAUAUCGGGAGGAACACCAGUGGCGAAGGCGACUACCUGGCCUGUUUCUUGACGCUGAGGCGCGAAAGCUAGGGGAGCAAACGGG